ACUACAGUGAAGCUUCAACAUAAAAUCAUGUACAGAUAUAGAUGGUGCGCGCGCGCACACACACACACACAC